rfam:TPA: Bos taurus chromosome 6, whole genome shotgun sequence.
UCCCUUGUGGCUCAGCUGAUAAAGUAUCUGCCCGCAGUGCAGGACACCUAGGUUCAAUCCCUGGCUUGGGAA